rnacentral:rRNA from 1 species
GACGAACGCUGGCGGCGUGCUUAACACAUGCAAGUCGAACGGAAAGGCCCUGCUUUUGUUGGGUUCUCGAUUGGCGAACGUGUGAGUAACACGUGAGUAACCUGCCCUUUACUUUGGGAUAACUUCAGGAAACUGGUUCUAAUACCGGAUAUGUUCUCCUGCUGCAUGGUGGGGGUUGGAUCGUUUCGGCGGUUGGGGAUGGACUCGCGGCUUAUCAGCUUGUUGGUGGGGUAGUGGCUUACCAAGGCUUUGACGGGUAGCCGGCCUGAGAGGGUGACCGGCCACAUUGGGACUGAGAUACGGCCCAGACUCCUACGGGAGGCAGCAGUGGGGAAUAUUGCACAAUGGGCGGAAGCCUGAUGCAGCAACGCCGCGUGCGGGAUGACGGCCUUCGGGUUGUAAACCGAUUUCGCCUGUGACGAAGCGUGAGUGACGGUAAUGGGUAAAGAAGCACCGGCUAACUACGUG